ACAGAGUUUGAUAUAAAGUUCCAACCCCAUCCUUCCAUCAAGGCAUAGGUAUUCGCUGACUUUGUCUUGGAGUAUACCAUUCCUGAGGAAAGGCCCAAGGAAGGUGAGCCAUUAAAGGAAGAACCAUCCAAAGAAGAGCCCAAGGAAUUAUGGGUCAUACACGUAGAUGGAUCAUCAAGCUCUGCUGGAUCGAAAGUGAGGCUAAUUCUCACUGGACUAGAAGGAAUC
rnacentral:lncRNA from 1 species